CUCUCUCACUUCCUCCGUUUGCAACCGAAAAACAGAGCAUCGGCUCUCCCUCUUCUCUCUCGCUCCACCGGCCACCAGGCAGCAUCCCAUCACCUCCCACACCUUCAAGUCGAUCGUACGCAGCUGCAGGAGGCGGCCUUGCGCUGCAGGAACCACCUGAGACGACAGCGGAGGCCGGAAAACCCGGUUUUGUUCCAAGCUUGAUAACUCGAGCAACUGGCCACGAAACCUUCCCAAACUUCACCCACAGGUUCGCCUUGACCUGCUGAAGCUCCCAGAACCUCCCUUUCACGGCGGAUCUGCCUCUGGAAGCGGCUGGAACUCGAACCCGGUUACACCGAAAACUUCGAUUAGAAGGAAUCGAGGCCUGAGGUUGCAGUUUUUACGUCGAACUUGGAGCUCGCCGGUUUCUGGGUUUUUUUUUCCGGCCAAACCGACUGGUUUGAGGUGAUUAACGGUUUUUACUUGGGCGAGCGAGUUUUGGUGUGAUUGUGAAAGUGAAGACGCAGCGGGAUAAGAGCGGGUAAUCCUGUAGGUCAGGAGAAUCAGGACGGUGAUCGUGCGGGUUAGAGUUUUUGUUAUAAUUUUACAGCAAUUGUAAUAGUGAGGUGAGUUAAGCUCAUUUGUGCCUUGUAAUUUGGUUUUUGUGAGAGCGUGUUGUAUUAAGAAUUGAGGAGCUAGGUUUUGUAAUAUUGAGUGGAGUGUGGUGUCACUGUGUGUUACUCUGAAAGAAAAAAAAAAAAAUAGACUGGUAUUUGUAUUUGUAAUAAUUUCAUGUUUCGAAUUUGGAAUACGUGUUUUCGAAAUUGGGGGC